CCUACGGGUGGCAGCAGUGAGGAAUAUUGGUCAAUGGGCGCUAGCCUGAACCAGCCAAGUAGCGUGAAGGAUGACUGCCCUAUGGGUUGUAAACUUCUUUUAUAUGGGAAUAAAGUGCAGUAUGUAUACUGAUUUGCAUGUACCUUAUGAAUAAGGAUCGGCUAACUCCGGGCCAGCAGCCGCGGUAAUACGGAGGAUCCGAGCGUUAUCCGGAUUUAUUGGGUUUAAAGGGAGCGUAGGCGGGUUGUUAAGUCAGUUGUGAAAGUUUGCGGCUCAACCGUAAAAUUGCAAUUGAUACUGGCAGCCUUGAGUACAGUAGAGGUAGGCGGAAUUCGUGGUGUAGCGGUGAAAUGCUUAGAUAUCACGAAGAACUCCGAUUGCGAAGGCAGCCUGCUAGACUGUAACUGACGCUGAUGCUCGAAAGUGUGGGUAUCAAACAGGAUUAGAUACCCUAGUAGUC
rnacentral:rRNA from 1 species